rnacentral:tRNA from 1 species
AAUUAUUUAGUUUAUUUAAAACAACAAUUUGUGGGAUUGUUUAUACUAAAUA